rnacentral:rRNA from 1 species
GAUGAACGCUGGCGGCGUGCCUAAUACAUGCCAGUCGAGCGAACAGACGAGGAGCUUGCUCCUUUGACGUUAGCGGCGGACGGGUGAGUAACACGUGGAUAACCUACCUAUAAGACUGGGAUAACUUCGGGAAACCGGAGCUAAUACCGGAUAACAUUUUGAACCGCAUGGUUCAACAGUGAAAGACGGUCUUGCUGUCACUUAUAGAUGGAUCCGCGCCGCAUUAGCUAGUUGGUAAGGUAACGGCUUACCAAGGCAACGAUGCGUAGCCGACCUGAGAGGGUGAUCGGCCACACUGGAACUGAGACACGGUCCAGACUCCUACGGGAGGCAGCAGUAGGGAAUCUUCCGCAAUGGGCGAAAGCCUGACGGAGCAACGCCGCGUGAGUGAAGAAGGUCUUCGGAUCGUAAAACUCUGUUAUUAGGGAAGAACAAAUGUGUAAGUAACUAUGCACGUCUUGACGGUACCUAAUCAGAAAGCCACGGCUAACUACGUG